AAGUCGUAACAAGGUUUCCGUAGGUGAACCUGCGGAAGGAUCAUCAUUGAAUAGACCGAAUUCCGGUCUGAUUUCUAUAUGAAUCUUUACCAUGAAUUUAUUUUCAUUGACCGAAUAAAAACAAUAUAGGGGGGGGACUUUUAUCAAAUUUUUAAUUUUAUAUUAAAAUUCGGUGAAUAGACCUUUUUUAUUGUUUUUGUUAAUGGUCUGUAGGCCAGUUUUGAGACUUUAAUGUUUCUUUUUGGUCGGAACUUUAUUAAACUUGAACAAAAAAAUUAUUAUAGAGGGGAACCUCUGUUGAACAGGAUUUACUUUGACCGGGUUUGGGUGUAAUGCCACCGGUGUAUAAACCAUUAAAACUUUCGGCAAUGGAUCUCUCGGCUCUCC
rnacentral:misc_RNA from 1 species